AGCUUUGCACAGUGGCAGCAUCAUAGCCAAUGAGGUUUAUCUGAGGCACGAUUAUUGCUAACUGAAAACUUUUCCCAAUACCCCGCCAUGAUGACUUGAAAUAUAGCCGGCAUUGGCAAUUUUUGGCGGUCUCUAUGGGGA
rnacentral:snRNA from 1 species